rnacentral:rRNA from 1 species
UACGUAAGGUGCAAGCGUUGUCCGGAAUUAUUGGGCGUAAAGAGCUCGUAGGCGGUUUGUCGCGUCGGCUGUGAAAACUCGGGGCUCAACCCCGAGCCUGCAGUCGAUACGGGCAAACUCGAGUGCGGUAGGGGAGACUGGAAUUCCUGGUGUAGCGGUGAAAUGCGCAGAUAUCAGGAGGAACACCGGCGGCGAAGGCGGGUCUCUGGGCCGUAACUGACGCUGAGGAGCGAAAGCGUGGGGAGCGAACAGG